rnacentral:rRNA from 1 species
CACGUAGUUAGCCGUGACUUCCUCGCCGGGUACCAUCGCUCAGAAAGCUUUCCACUCUUUCUGUCCUUUUGUCCCCGGCAACAGAGCUUUACGAUCCGAAGACCUUCCUCGCUCACGCGGCAUUGCUCGUUCACGGGUUCCCCCCAUUGACGAAAAUUCCCUACUGCUGCCUCCCGCAGGAGUCUGGGCCGUGUCUCAGUCCCAGUGUGGCCGUCCGCCCUCUCAGGCCGGCUAUGCAUCGUCGCCUCGGUGAGCCGUUACCUCUCCAACCAGCUAAUGCACCGCAGGUCCAUCUGCAUGCGGGACUCUUCGUCCCCUUUUACCAAAAAGAAGAUGCCUCCUCUUUGCUCAUCCGGUAUCAGUCUUUCCGUUUCCAGUAAGUUCCUCCCGCUCAUGCAGGCACGGUUCCCUACGUUGUUACCUCCUACCCCGUUCGCCCUACUCCAUACUCCGAAGAUUACUCCGUUUCGACUUUGCAUUGUAUUAGGCUAUCGCCCG